CAAGAUCAAGACCGCAAGAUUCAAGAACAAGCCCAAAAGCCCUUAAAUUCAAGCACAAGUCUAGAUCAAAUCCAGCAAGUCCGCAAAUCAAAUUCAAAUUCAAUAUCAAGCUCGAAGCCCUUGAAUUUAUAUUGAGUCGUGACAUCAUUUCCCCUUGAACUUGUUAGCGCAAUUUACUUGAGCAGUUAAACUAAACUAAUUAAUUUACCCCUUUUAACAUCUUUAAAGUGUAUUAGUUUCACUCCUAAUGCUGACGUGACAUGUUCAAGAAAAAUAAGGAGCGUAUAUUUUGUAAAAAAAAUUAAUUUCACUAAUAUUAUAUUUUAAAUAUAAUAGAAAAAAAAAUAAAAAUUGGACACUUUUUUCGUUUUUCUUCUCCAAAACAUCUACAACAACACUCAUUUUCUCCAACCAUAAAUUCCUUCAUUAACAACCUCAAAUACAUUUUCUCCGCCAACACUCUCCUUCAAUUUUUUUCAUUUUCCUUCAUUAACACCACCAAAGAACAACCACAAAGACACUAAAUUAAAAUUUCCCCCCAUUGAACACCAUCUCAACCUUCAAUCCAACUCCCUCAAAAUUUGAACCAAAAAUGAAUUAAAUUGAUGAUUAUAUCUUUAAACCACUUAUCAUCAAUGAGAUUUCUUUUGAUUUUUACUUUUGAAUUUUUUUGUUAAUAAGACAAUUUUUGAGUUGUAAAACAAAUGAAAAAAAAAUUAUUUUUGACUUGGUGGGGGUGUUUUCGUGUUUGAAGAAGAAAGAAAUUGGGUUUGGGGGGGGGGCAUUUUUCGUGCUCUCGUGUACUGGAAUGGGAGAAAGAGGGGGUGCUUGAGGGUUGGGGGUGGAUGAUCUGAAGGUUCGUGUUUGCAGGGGUUAGGGAUGAAAGAGGAGAAGAGAGGGGGGAUAUAUAUAUGUGUGUGUGUAUAUAUAUAUAAAUACUACAUAUAUAUUUUUUACUUUUUAGAAAAAAUAUAUAAAAAUAGUAUGUGUGGAAUUACUUUCUUUAAAAAAAUUAUAAUUUCUUACGUGGCAAUGACAUGACACUAAUGUGGCAAUGACAUGACGCGCGUGUAGUGCACUCUCCGUUGUGAGACUGGAAUUGUGAUUUUGAGGUUGUAUUUAAUUCACUUGAAAGUUGUUAAGAGGGUAAAUAAUGGCAAAAUGGUUCGAUGGACCCCUGN
rnacentral:lncRNA from 1 species